UACGUAGGGUGCAAGCGUUGUCCGGAAUUAUUGGGCGUAAAGAGCUCGUAGGCGGUGUGUCGCGUCGGCCGUGAAAACCUGCAGCUUAACUGUGGGCUUGCGGUCGAUACGGGCAUCACUGGAGUUCGGCAGGGGAGACUGGAAUUCCUGGUGUAGCGGUGAAAUGCGCAGAUAUCAGGAGGAACACCGGUGGCGAAGGCGGGUCUCGUGGGCCGAUACUGACGCUGAGGAGCGAAAGCGUGGGGAGCGAACAGG
rnacentral:rRNA from 1 species